rnacentral:rRNA from 1 species
UACGUAGGGUGCGAGCGUUGUCCGGAAUUAUUGGGCGUAAAGGGCUCGUAGGCGGUUUGUCGCGUCGGGAGUGAAAACCCAGGGCUUAACUCUGGGCUUGCUUUCGAUACGGGCAGACUAGAGGUAUGCAGGGGAGAACGGAAUUCCGUGGUGUAGCGGUGAAAUGCGCAGAUAUCAGGAGGAACACCGGUGGCGAAGGGCGGGAUU